CUUUGUUUUUCUCCCUGUCUUCUUCUCCCACACGGCAGCAGCCCACACCUUCUUCCUCCCUGCGCCCAGCCUUCCCCAAGCUCUAGCGUGCAGGGCAGCAGCGCCCCUUCUGCUCCAUGGCCGAGCUCCCUUGGAGCAGACGCUCACCAGCCCAGGCGUGGGCUCCAUUUUUUCCAGGGCCGCCGAACUCCAUGUCCAUGGCGUGGAGCAGCAGCUCCCAUUCCUCGGCGACAUCCUCCUCGCCGUCGUCCAUGGCGCCCCUGCUCCUUCUUCCUCGCACCGCAGCAGCCGAGCUCGCCCUAGCCUCCAUUUUUCCAGUCGGCCUUUCCCCCUGCGAGCAGUUUUUCCCAUUGUCUUCAUCCUCCAGCCGCCAUGGACGCCCAAGCCAGUAGCGCCUUGAGCUCGCCCCUGCUUCUCUCUCUCUACCAAGCGCCCCCUGCAAUCUUCCCCAAGUUGCCUUCCUCCUCUCCCCAACGGCGCCCUCCUUUUUUUCCUCUCUGUUCCAGACCGGCAUCAGAGCAGUGCGCGCAAGCUCUCCCAGCCAAGGACAGCACCAUCCCCUCCCCUGCUGCUGCUCGCCUCCUACCUCCUUUUCCCCUAGUGCGACAGCAAGGAACCCCUGUUCUGCCGGCAGCCAUGGCAUCCAAGUUCUGUGCGCAGCGAUGCCGGUCCAAAACAGCAGCCUUGGAUCCCCUCUGCAUCGCGUGCUUCGCUCGAUCUGCGCAGUCCCGACCCACGCCGUCGCAUUGGUAUUUGGGGACAGCCCAUGUCGUGUCGUUGAUCUGUGCAGUUCGACCGUCUACGCGUCUCACUUCGCCGGAUCUGCGCAGCCCCAACAUCGACGACGUUCACCCCGGCGAGGAACCCCGUGUUUUGCGUGGAGAAGGCAAGUCGUUCAACGCUCGUCGGAUGCUCGGAGCGAUGCACAAAUCGGAAUCGCCAUCGUCCUUACAAACAUCGAUUGGGUUUAUUUAUGGUGAGCCGAUGACCGAGAGAUGACGCUCAUGCAAGUGGUGUGGUGCCAACCACAAGAUGCCGCGGUGGACGACCUGAAGGAUGGACAUAACCAGUGGAUGCUCGCCAAGCGAGUGCCACCCCAGCAAACACUAUCUAAGUGUUAAAAUAA